rnacentral:rRNA from 1 species
GACGUAGGUGGCGAACGUUAUCCGGAAUUAUUGGGCGUAAAGGGUGCGUAGGCGGCAUAAUAAGUUAUUGGCGGGAAAUCGAGGCUCAACCUCGUGGAAACUGAUAAUACUGUUUUGCUUGAGUACAGGAGAGGUUAACGGAACUCCAUGUGGAGCGGUAAAAUGUGUAGAUAUAUGGAAGAACAUCAAUAACGGCGAAGGCAGCAUCCUGGGAAGUUCCUGACGCUCGGGUGCGAAAGCCAGGGGAGCGAACGGG